AUUGAACGCUGGCGGCAGGCCUAACACAUGCAAGUCGAACGAGUGGCGGACGGGUGAGUAAUGUCUGGGAAACUGCCUGAUGGAGGGGGAUAACUACUGGAAACGGUAGCUAAUACAGCAUACCAUCGGAUGUGCCCAGAUGGGAUUAGCUAGUAGGUGGGGUAAAGGCUCACCUGGGCGACGAUCCCUAGCUGGUCUGAGAGGAUGACCAGCCACACUGGAACUGAGACACGGUCCAGACUCCUACGGUGGGAAGCAUAGGGGAAUAUUGGACACUGGGGGCAAGCCUGAUGCAGCCAUGACGCGUGUAUGAAGAAGGCCUUCGGGUUGUAAAGUACUUUCAGCGGGGAGGCUUUACCCGCAGAAGAAGCACCGGCUAACUCCGUGCCAGCCGCCGCGGUAAUAC
rnacentral:rRNA from 1 species